GCCCUGGUGGCCAAGCUCGGGAAGGCAGCAUAGCAAAAAUAUAUCUUGUAAAAGAUAUUAACAGCAAUACUCUUUUAAUGUGAAGAUCAGAGGUUCAAAUCCUCUCCAGGGCA
rnacentral:tRNA from 1 species